UAGGCAACACCCAGCGAUCCUCCCCACAUCUCUCCAUCUCUCUGCGGUCCAGCGGCACAGAGUUUCUGCACAGCUCGAGGCGCGAGACCUUGCGCAGCGCUUCGCCUUUGACAUGGUCGCGAGUCUGGAAUUGCGUUCGGCGCGGUAACAUUGGCCGCGGAACAACGGAAGCGCGAGAGAUCCGGGACGUCUUUUUGAGCGGAGUCCGGGGGGAGAAGCCGCUCCGUGCCCAAAUCCCGCACCCAGGGGUCUUCCGCACGGACACGAUCAGGAACGCCGCCGGGAAGCUGAUCUCUGGAGCGCUGGACCGCUGACCCGUGAGAGCCCAGGGGCAUGCUGGGAUACCGGGGUCCAUAUCAGGAUGCCUGCAGCAUCUCAAGUCACCAUGGUGAUGACCUCCCUCCCACACGGAGCCUGGACCUGUGGGAGCAUGCCCAGAAGAGGGCCCCAUCUGCAGAGACGAGGAGGAGGAGUGUGCCAUCCCCCACGACGGGACUGUCACCAUCAUCAUCAUCACCUGGGAAGAGGAAGGCCUGGAGUGGCAGCUGAGGAAGAGGAGCAACGAAGAUCUCCCUGCCAGCAGCAGAGUGUGUCUGUGUGUAUAGGGUUAUAGCGUACACGCACACACACAUGUACACGCACGCACCUACCCACAUAGACACACAUGCCCACAUACACAGCAAACAUGAAUGGACAAACACAACCAUUCACGCACACAGGCAGACACAGACACACACGCACGCACGCACACACAGGGACACGCCUCUCCGAUCUUCAGCGCAGGUCAUGCGUCCCCCCCAUCAGCAAGGGCUGCUGGGAAAAAAAACGCCAUGCAGGAGAGGGCUGGCUCUGGCAGUGGGGAUCGAAUCUGGAGUUUGGGGGCUCGAUGUUGGAGACUGCAGGGAAACUGGCGUCAGAGUCAGAGGCAGGAACUGAGACGUGUGAGUGCUGAUCUAGGAUCAGUUUAACGUUUCAGCUCAUAGUGGGGCGAGACUGGCGUGCAGAUGGGAAACACGACCCUGGAUCAAUGCUUUUACUCCAAAGUGUUUUAGAAACGCGGGCCCAAACUGCAGUCAGAGGGAAAACAGCUGGAUGGACAGGACGUGGGCGUGGCUGUAAGCAGUGGAUCAGUGCUGGGGUGAGAGGAAGCUUGAAGCUGGUUUAGUUAGCAUGAAGCUUUAGCAUGUCAUGCUGAAGCUGGUUUAGUUAGCGCAAAGCUUUAGCAUGUCAUGCUGAAGCUGGUUUAGUUAGCGCAAAGCUUUAGCAUGUCAUGCUGAAGCUGGUUUAGUUAGCGCAAAGCUUUAGCAUGUCAUGCUGAAGCUGGUUUAGUUAGCAUGAUGCUUUAGCAUGUCAUGCUGAAGCUGGUUUAGUUAGCAUGAGGCUUUAGCAUGUCAUGCUGAAGCUGGUUUAGUUAGGGUUAGUGCUGGGAGGUAAGGGUGUUGAGUGUAAGGUUUCCCUGAUGGUGAGCCUUCUCUGAAGCUUUUCAGAUCAGAUAACUUGGUUUUUUGGGGAACGGAAGCUUCUUUGUCUUGAAUAUUAGAGUCUUUUAUAGAUUAAUUUAGACUCUCUCAUUCAUUAAAAUGUCUUCUGUAUGUUAGGACCGUGUUUUACGAUUUGACCUUGAAAUGGAAAAUGGAUCACUGAGUUUGAGACAGCGGUCUGGAUUCAAUUAAUACAUGUCCUUUUGAUUUGAUUGAAUUAGCUGACAGUUAUUUUCUUUUAUGAAAAUUAAUUUUCAUACAUUCUGGUGAACACUGACCUCACACUGUGACUAUCAAGAGAAACAUGGAGAGCAUUAACAUUUUUGAUUCAUAAUUACUGAAUUAAGGAGAAAUGUUUGCUGUUGAAUUCAGGCCAUUGUAACAUUUUGGAUAAGCACAACUGGAUUAAAAUCUUCAGGAUACGAUUGGGUUGAACUGAUCUCAAAACCAUAAGAUGCUUUAGUGAAUGAGAGAGUGUCUGUGUGUAAUACAACACCUCUUUGGUGCUGCAUCAUGUUCACCGUGAAACGUGUGAAAAUCUCCUUCCUGCAAAAUUAACACUAACCCCUUUUCCUUGCUAGCGUUUUGCCCUACUAAAACACUAACUAAACCACUAACAGACUAACAGGUGAUGGUGAUCUUGUCCGCCUAAAAACAGUGAUUUUACCCACUAGCCGUUCUGUGUUUACGGGUGAGACAAGCCCACUCAGGUCACAGCACAUCCCGUCGGCCGCUUUCUUCUAAGGAGGCUGAAUUGGGACAAACUGCGCAGUCAUCUCUGAUGUGCUACAUGCUAACAGCCGCACAGCAUUCUCACUGGCUCCUUGUUAUGGUGUCGCAGUGUCGCAGCAGUGCAUCGUGUGUUGCGCUAACGUUGUGCGAACGUUACCCUGGGGCUUCUCUCCCAGGGGUUAAUAGCGAUCUGCUCAGUGUGGUGUGAACUGCAUGCAGGACACGGUCCUAUAGGUUGAAAAGCUCAGUGGUUUAAAGACUAACAAAACACCAGUAGACCUGGUUACUAACAUCUACUAACAAGAGAUUAACCAACUAAUCUGGGUCUGUGGCAAGCCUGCUAAACAAGUGUCCCCCAUUGGUGUAUGUAUCUCUCUCUGCUGUGAAGGUCCUUCUCUACCUCCCAACUGUCCUGCUGCUACUAGUGUCUGUCAACGCGCGUGUAUUCGCACAUAAAAGACUACGUCUGUGCAUGGGCCUGUGUGUAUGUGUGUGUAUACGUGUGUGUUUGUGUGUAUACGUGUGUCUUCGUGUAUCUGUGUGUGUAUGUGUGUGUGUAUGCACACGUGCAUGUGUUUGUGUGCAUUUGUGUGUGUGUGUGUGUGUGCAUGUGUGUGUGUGUGUGUGUGUGUAGGUGUCUAAAUGCUGCUCUCCUCGCAUACACGUGCUGGAGCCAAUCAGCAGCCUGGCAUUCUGUGCCAGCAGACUUACUAACAGAUUCUAACAUUUUACUAACGUUUUCUAACGGUUUUUGCUACUAACCUUUGAUUGGUCGGUUCUCUUGUGUGGGCUGGGCUUCAGCAGAAUUCCACGAGCAACACUUGGUUUCAGAGGUGUCAGAUUUCACAAACUGACAGCUGUUCUUAAAAAAAAAAAACUCACAAUACAAAGCCUGAGAUUAAUAAUGCAUUGUAAGGCACGACACAAAAACAGGAGCUUAGUCACAUACACCAGCUGUGUGUGUGUGUGGGGGGGGGGGAGAGCCAUGCCCCUCACCUGUCGUGUUUCACAGUUCCAUGUUAGAGUUCAGCUUGUGCAGGUGUGCAUCAGAUCUGGGUCAAAUGUGUGCCUGAAAUACUUUUGUAUUUCCAGUACAUAUUUGAAUGUGCAAAAUGUCUACGCUGAUCAACAAACCUGCAAAGAUGGUGGAGGAGCUUGUGUGAUGCAUGUUGUGUAAUAGAAGUCGGACGGAGAAGGGCUUGCUCAAAGUGUAGCCAGAUCGCAGUUUGUCAAGGGACUUACUGGACCGAGCAAUUUUCAGGCAUGAGUAUUCACACUGAUAUUCCAAACAACGUGUGGACAUUAAGAAAAGUUAUUCAGUCUGGUAAAGUCCCAAUCAAAUGUCAAAUCAGCUUCAUUAAUAUGCACAUCGAAGCACUGUGUGGAGAAGGGUUGUGCUUUAUUAAUUAUUUUUUCACAAAAUUGACUUAUUGCCUAGUCAGGCAUUUUUACCUGAAUAUCUUCCUGGCCAUAAUUGCUAAUCAAUUAUCCCCUCAAAAAAAAUGAUGUU